GUGGGGAAUUUUGGACAAUGGGCGCAAGCCUGAUCCAGCCAUGCCGCGUGCAGGAUGAAGGCCCUCGGGUUGUAAACUGCUUUCGUACGGAACGAAAAGCCUCUUUCUAAUAAAGAGGGGUGAUGACGGUACCGUAAGAAUAAGCACCGGCUAACUACGUGCCAGCAGCCGCGGUAAUACGUAGUGUGCGAGCGUUAAUCGGAAUUACUGGGCGUAAAGCGUGCGCAGGCGGUCUUGCAAGACAGUGGUGAAAUCCCCGGGCUCAACCUGGGAACUGCCAUUGUGACUGCAAGGCUGGAGUACGGCAGAGGGGGAUGGAAUUCCGCGUGUAGCAGUGAAAUGCGUAGAUAUGCGGAGGAACACCGAUGGCGAAGGCAGUCCCCUGGGCCUGUACUGACGCUCAUGCACGAAAGCGUGGGGAGCAAACA
rnacentral:rRNA from 1 species